UGUGAUGCAUUUUAACCAAUGCCAUUUCUCCUUUACUUAGUUAGCAUUUUGGCUUCGUCGUUAUUUUAGUCGUCUCUCCUGGAGUCCUUCGCGUUUGGGUUUUCAAUCUAGCGACUUUCAAUCAUGGGCUGACUUUAUCUUAGUAGUAAAAGACUUAGUUCAAAGGCUCUGACAAAGAAUAGCGUGCCGUGAGCAGGCGAGUCGAUCACUUCCGCUUUACUUGUUACUUAAACUGGGCGUGAAAUUUGUAGCAACAUCUCAGCUUCUUUUUGAAGUUUUCUUAUCAGGAUGAAAGAAGAUCAUGGAAUUGUGCCAAGGCGACUUAAGAGGUUUUAUUAAAGGAUUCCUGUGAUGUCGAUGCUGAGGAAGGAUGGCAACUUUCCCAGCACCUCAUGUACCACAUCAGAGAAAGCCCAAGAAAGCAGUUUCACAGGCCAGUCUCCCGUCUCCAAUCUCUGCUCUGAA